CUCUAGGAGACAGUUGCUCAUUUGGACGGGCAGAGAAGCAGACAAUCCCCAGACUUCUCGACUUAAAAAGAACCCAGCUUGUCUUCUACUUGUCUCAUGUCAGAGUGGAAAGAGUGUAUGCACCUCCGUAGGGCCUUCAGGACCACCCUCAAGGGGAUCUGUGGACUGGGUGGUGGGCGCUGGAGAAAGACGCUGGGCAUGGCGUCAGGCCAUGAAUGUACUGGGAAAGUCCUCUGCCCUUGAGUCCAUCCCCAGCAUGAAGCUAAAGCCCAUUUGCAGACCUGACCCUGAUUCAUUCUCCUCUUUUCCUUGGCGUGUGGCCCGUGGAGGUCAGAGGAAGGGGUCGGGUCCCUCAGAAGCUGGAGACACAGGCAGUUGUAAGCACCUAAUGUGGGUGCGGGAAACUGAACUUCCUCUGGACCACCCACCAGCUUGCUAACCGCUGAGCCAGCGGUGCGGUCCUCUCAUCUGUUAUUUUACACGGCUCCUUAAACAUUGUGUGCUAUAGGUGUUCUUUAAUUUACAUUGGUGAACGUUCAGUAAACCUCCAUAGGUUAGAAAUACCACAAGUUGAAAGUGCCUUUAAUGGAUUUAACCUAAUAAAUAUGAUAGCUUACUCCCAUUUAUCCAUGAGAUAAAAUUUAAAUGCUCAGAACAUUUAAAUCAGUCAAGUAGACUCACUGAACCCAGCCUGUUUUAUAACACAGUGUUGACUACCCUAAUGUAAGCAUCUGGCAACACAGUACACCGAGGGAUCUCUGUUCAGCCUCAGCUGAGGGGCUGUGUACUAUGUCAGACUAACAACAGUGUGAAAACUCACUAGCCUGGGAAAAGAUGUGAGUUUGUAUUGCGUUGGCAUUGCCCUGCCCCAGCCUUCUGAGUGUGGAUUAUGAGCAUAUACCACCAAGUCCAGCUGUAGACGUGUGGUUUUCUUGAAUGUCUGCUGCUUUUGCACUAUUGUCAAGUCAAAGCAUCGUGAACUAAACCACUGUGAUCCAGGGGCCGUGUGCAUAGCUCUGUGUGUUGUUGAAUAUGCCUAUCAUUGCUGUGUGUUUUCUUAAUGUAGCUUACCUUUUGUGUCUAAUGCACCUUGAGAAUCAUUUCUAUUGACUCUGCGACAGCUCUGUGUUACCCUUAUAUAUAUAUGAACACGUUACAGUUCAUUCUCCCGAUGAGUGACUUGGGGUUCUCAGCUUGGGGGCUCUUAAGCAAUGUGGCCAUGAGCAUGUGUAUCUUCUCACGAAUUGCCAUCUCUUACAUCUUUCUCUAUAGGAUUAGGAUUCUGUUUCUUACUGGUCUAUAGCAAAUCUUUUUAUUAGUUUAGACACCGCUCCUUCAUAUCUGCAUGUGUUGUAAACAUUUCCCAUUUGUGACGUGUCUUGUCGUGAAGGUAUGGUGUAUUGGUCAGAUUUUUGCCAUUUUGAUUAAAUACCCAGCAAAGAUAUUUUUUUGGGUUAUGGAUUCAGAGUUUAAGUACACUGUGGGUUGGUCCCAAGGACCAGUGGCUGCAUACAGUGAAGCAAAGCUAGGACACCACGGGAGUAGGGAAUGUUGGGAAUAAAAUACACAUUCCCAGUGACCCACUUGCUCCACAUAGGAUCCUAACAGUCCUGAAAGGAAUAAAGAUAUUCUAGAGACAUAUACCUCUCUCUUUGGAUAUUGAAUUAUUCAAAAAACUCAUUCCCAAGAAAUUAGAAUUUCCGUAGGACUUCCACACUGGGAGGAAAAAGAAAAGACCAGAAGCCUGUCCCUUAAGAGAGGGGUGAUUGUCUCCCAGAAAGAGAUUUCACACUGUUUUGACACACCAACUCACAGGAACGUCUGGAGCGGAGAAUGGUGGGCGGAACCACACUUGGACCACUUAGCCCUGCUAAACUAAAACCUUGUGUUAGGAACACAGAUAUGGACUGGACCUCUUUGUUCUUCUUGACUGUUCUUUUUCUGUUUUCUAUUACUUGAAUCUUUAAUUUUCCAAUUGAGGAGAGAGACCAACAGAGACCAUGCUGUUAGGGCUGCCAGGGCCCAAACUCUAACUACAGCAAUGCCAUUAUCCAAAAAGCCUAUUAAGGUAUGAAUUCAUAAGUGGAUUCCAUGAUACAGUCACCUCCUAAAAGCUCUAUAUCUCAACACUAUUGCAUUGGGAUCCAAGACUUCAAUCCAUCGGUUUUGGUGAGAUACUUAAGAUUUAAGCCAAACUAUUUCAUAUAAUCCCCAAAGGCUCAUGGCUGUCUCAGAAUACAAAACAUAUCCAGUUGUCUCCAAGAAUUCCCACCAUUUUAACACUUUCAGCAUAGCAUAAAAGCCCAUGUCCAAGGUUUUGCCUGAGACUCAGAGAAAAUUCAUUAGCAAGGACCUUAUAAAAACCAAGUUGCAUACUUUCAAGAUAUAAAUGGCUUACGGUAUGCAUUCCCUCUCCAAAAGAGAAAAGCAGGAAAAUAUCAAGGAAAAACCAGACCAGCACAAGCCUGAAACCCCCCAAACAAACUAAAUCGUGUAGCUGUGGCCAACAGUGGGUCACACAGAGCUCCAGCAGGCCUGGGUGGUCCCACCCUCCAGCUUUGAUGGCUGAAGCUUAUACGGUCACUCUCUUGGCUGAUUCUCCUUGCUACCCAAGGCAUGCUCACUCUCCUGGGGUCUCCAUCUUGGCUUUGGCUUCACUUGGACCUUGUCAGGUGUCAUCCUCACAGUGGCUCCUUGCAGGGAGUCUGACUGGCUGGCCUGCAGGCUUUCCCAUGAAACCUGGGGAUGCCUCUGUGGCCCUAUGGGUCUUGCGUUGUGCAUGCCUGCAAAGUCAGCACCACAUGGACCCUUUGGAUCAAGGCUAGAGUGACUUAUGAACGUCUGAAUGCAGAGGGGCAAAGUCCAGGAGACAGUGUGGUCCUGUGGAAGCAGAAUGAAAAUGAAGGAUUUAGAUGUUAUACUUUGAGGCCACAGGGGUAGAGUCCUGUUAAAGUUAAGUCUACUGUGUCUCAUGAAGUCCAGGCUGACCUCAAACUCAUCACACAGCUGAGUAUGAUCUUACACUGUAAUCUGACCUUCCUGCCUUCACUUCCAGAUCAUGCCCAGGGCCUCAAGCAUGCGUGGCAAACACUUGACCGCCUGAGCGGUCUUUCUGAUAGCAUUAAUCUUUCACAACUAUGUUCACUUUGGUCCCGAGUUUGCACUCAUUGCUUUUCUAGGAAAAUUUUUCAAAUCUUUAGCUUUGUUUUUGUUUCUGAU